GUCUUUUAUAAUUUGAUUAAUAUUCAGUUUAUAAUCCUGUGAUUGGUUUUAUUUAAUUUGUUUUGAUUCUAUCAAUGUUCAACCAACAAUUCAUUUCAAUGUGAAAAGCCCAGAUCGAUAACUUGUCAAGUUAUCGAAUGGAAAAAAUUGAAGAUAAAACCUUGACCUCAAACAACGGAAAUUAUUUUCAUUAACAAUCGACCGGUUAUUAAGCUUGGGCUUUACUUUCAUCCAACGGUACUUACACCCUGAAGAUGAUAAUCAUUAACAGUACAAGUGUUAUUAUCUCAUGUAGCGGUUCUUUCAAGAGCUUAGUGAAAUAGUCUUCUCAGUGAGAGUUUAUUGGCUUCGAAAGGGUUCCUUGUUGAGGUUGAUGCUCUUUUUAAGAAUUUACUCAUCAAUUUGUUUCUCUUUCCUGAUCAUCAUAAUCAACCUUUCGCUCACUCUCUUCCUCUUCUUCCUGGGAAUAAUUCUAUUAUCAAGAUUUAAGAACCUGGUCAAUAUUAUUCAGAAAAUAUGAUGAAUUCAAAAAUUUUUCACCAUCAGAUAAGUGAUCAAUUGGAUAUUAUUUGAUUGUUUAAAUUUACUUGCUAUUUCGUCUAACCUGUUCCUGGAUUUUAAAAAUGCUUUUCCUGGAGAUGAUGAGCAUGAUGAGUGGAUGAAUGAAAUGAAAGUGAAGUGAAAUGAUCUCAACAUGAUCUUUACAAAACUUGAAACUACAAAAUGCUGAUAAUGAUAAUAAUAGCGAUGGUAAACUAGGAAAAGAAACAAAAGGUUGCUGAUCUUGUUCCUCAAUGUGAUGAAAAAAAAAUAAAAGUUAAGGCCUUACAACCAAAGCAAACAAGUUACUCAUUAACUUAACCUGUUCAUUGGUCUGCUUUCUUUGCAAUGGAUAAUUCCUUCACAACAAGAAGCUCUUCCUUAAUUCUUCCUGAUGAGUUAUCAACACUUCCUGAUAAACUGAACAAGACUGAGUUAACCGAUUAACGCCCUUGCCCCAAUUGACGAUAAACCAUCAACAUGGUAACCUGGCUAAUAUCCCUGGCGAUUUGAGGCUUAUUUCAGGAAACGUUAUUUAUAUUAUCAGAUUUGUAACAAAAAAUGGAUUGCAAGGCACAAGUUCAAAUGAAUAAUGACCAGGAAAAGAAGCUAAAGAUCAAAUAUUUGGCUUUACUGGUUAAAUUUAUUUCACCAUGCAACUCAGAUUUAAUUUUAUACACUUUCAGAGAAAACUUUUCAAAGUGAAGUAACUUCAAGUCAAGUUUUAAAUUGGUGAGAAAAUUAAAGGAAAUUUCUUACCAUGGCAUUGAUGUCGUUGGUAAUUGGGCUUGGUUCACCUGAGAUAAUUUGACAAACCAAUAGAGUAAGCAGUAUUUUACAUAUGA